GUGUCAGCAGCCGCGGUAAUACGGAGGGUGCAAGCAUUGAUCGGAAUUACUGGGCGUAAAGGGCGCGUAGGCGGCCAAGAAAGUCAGAUGUGAAAUUCCGGGGCUCAACCCCGGAGCUGCAUUUGAAACUCCAUGGCUAGAGUACAGUUAGGGAAAACGGAAUUCCACGUGUAGCGGUGAAAUGCGUAGAUAUGUGGAAGAACACCGGUGGUGAAGACGGUUUUCUGGGCUGAAACUGACGCUGAGGCGCGAAAGCUAGGGGAGCAAACAGGAUUAGAUACCCUGGUAGUCCUAGCCUUAAACGAUGCAUACUAGGUGUAGGGGGGCUCAACCCCCUCUGUACCGGAGCUAACGCAUUAAGUAUGCCGCCUGGGGAGUACGCUCGCAAGGGUGAA
rnacentral:rRNA from 1 species